rnacentral:rRNA from 1 species
GAUGAACGCUGGCGGCGUGCCUAAUACAUGCAAGUCGAACGAAAAUACGUUAUCAUCGAGUGCUUGCACUUACCGACAGACAGUUGAGUAGCGAAUGGAUGAGCAACAUGUGAGCAAGGUGCACCAACGAGAGGGAGAACACAUGGCAACAGGUUCUAAUAACCCAUAAGCAUAGAUACUGCAUGGCGACUAUGUUAAAGGUUGUAAUACUACCGCCUCCGGAUGGGCCCGCGGCGCAUUAGCUAGUUGGUAGGGUAAAGGCUUACCAAGGCAAUGAUGCGUAGCCGAAUUGAGAGGUUGAUCGGCCACAUUGGAACUGAGACACGGUCCAAACUCCUACGGGAGGCAGCAGUAGGGAAUCUUCCGCAAUGGGCGAAAGCCUGAUGGAGCAACGCCGCGUGGGUGAUGAAGGUCUUCGGAUCGUAAAACCCUGUUAUUAGGGAAGAACGAGCGUGAAAGUAACUAUUCACGUUUUGACGGUACCUAACCAGAAAGCCACGGCUAACUACGUG